AGCAAACUGAUGAAGUUAUCAAUCCGAAUUCUCAUGUGGAUUUUUCUUGAUCUUCAAAGUCCUCUGAUUGCU